rnacentral:rRNA from 1 species
AGUGAACGCUGGCGGUAGGCCUAACACAUGCAAGUCGAACGGCAGCACAGUAAGAGCUUGCUCUUACGGGUGGCGAGUGGCGGACGGGUGAGGAAUACAUCGGAAUCUACUUUUUCGUGGGGGAUAACGUAGGGAAACUUACGCUAAUACCGCAUACGACCUACGGUUGAAAGCAGGGGAUCUUCGGACCUUGCGCGAUUGAAUGAGCCGAUGUCGGAUUAGCUAGUUGGCGGGGUAAAGGCCCACCAAGGCGACGAUCCGUAGCUGGUCUGAGAGGAUGAUCAGCCACACUGGAACUGAGACACGGUCCAGACCCCUACGGGAGGCAGCAGUGGGGAAUAUUGGACAAUGGGCGCAAGCCUGAUCCAGCCAUACCGCGUGGGUGAAGAAGGCCUUCGGGUUGUAAAGCCCUUUUGUUGGGAAAGAAAAGCAGCAGGUUAAUACCCCGCUGUUCUGACGGUACCCAAAGAAUAAGCACCGGCUAACUUCGUG